rnacentral:rRNA from 1 species
AUUGAACGCUGGCGGCAGGCCUAACACAUGCAAGUCGAGCGAGCGGCGGACGGGUGAGUAAUGUCGGGGAAACUGCCUGAUGGAGGGGGAUAACUACUGGAAACGGUAGCUAAUACCGCAUACCAUCAGAUGUGCCAAGAUGGGAUUAGCUGGUGGGUGGGGUAACGGCUCACCUAGGCACCGAUCCCUAGCUGGUCUGAGAUGAUGACCAGCCACACGGGAAUUGAGACACGGUCCAGACUCCUACGGGAGGCAGCAGUGGGGAAUAUUGCACAAGGGGCGCAAGCCGGAUGCGGCCAGGCCGCGUGUGUGAAGAAGGCCUUCGGGUUGUAAAGCACUUUCAGCGGGGAGGCGUUACCCGCAGAAGAAGCACCGGCUAACUCCGUGCCAGCAGCCGCGGUAAUAC